rnacentral:rRNA from 1 species
CGCCCUUCUUCCUCAGCCAAAUGAAGGAGCUGGCAUCAGGCACAGACUUCUAGCCCAUGACGCCUAGUUACACCACACCCUCAAGGGCAUUCAGCAGUGAUAAAGAUUGUUCAUAAGCGUCAGCUUGAUUUAAUUAGAGAAAGUCAGAGCCGGCCAAUCUGGUGCCAGCCGCCGCGGCUAGACCAGCAGGCUCAAGUUGAUAAUCAUCGGCGUUAAGCGUGAUUAGAGAAAUACCACAUUAGAGUUAAACAAGGGUUUAGUUGUGAUAAACUUAUUACCCAGAAAAACAAAAACGAAAGUUACUCUAACCCCCCACUUGAAUACACGACAGCUAGGGUACAAACUGGGAUUAGAU